rnacentral:rRNA from 1 species
UGUAAGCGUAUACCAAAGUUGUUGCAGUUAAAACGCUCGUAGUCGGAAUUUGGCAGUUCCGGAUGUGUGCACGUCGUGUGCGCACUUCGCGGGGAUUGCUUUUGUGGUCUUGCGUAGGAUGAGGCACUUUUAUUAGUGAACGUCCUCACGCAACCACUUUUUACUGUGAGAAAAUCAGAGUGCUCAAAGCAGGCAUUUGCCGUGAAUGUAUUAGCAUGGAAUAAUAGAAUAGGACUUGGUUCUAUUUUGUGGGUUUGUUGGGACUGAGUAAUGAUUAAGAGGGACAGUUGGGGGCAUUUGUAUUUCGGUGCUAGAGGUGAAAUUCUUAGAUUACCGAAAGACAAACUGCUGCGAAAGCGUCUGCCAAGGAUGUUUUCAUUGA